CUGAUAUUUAACAGGGAUUAAAAAAUGCUGCGUGAACGAAUCACACAUAAAACUGCCGUUUCAACCCUUCAGAAGCCCAGGACUGAAAAUGUCUGUCCACACAGGUGCCAGGCCUGGGGGCUAAACAGUGACACUCCAAAGCCACCGACGAGGGGGAGUCCACGCAGGAGGCAGAAUGCGCAGUGCGAUGGGAUGGUGGGUCCCUCACCCCGAGGGCUCUCCCAGUGGAGCUGACGUCCCUGAGGAGAGGGGCCUCAUGCCACGGCUUCCUCCUGCUUGGUGGCGACUUCUACACCCUGAUGUGGUGCCUGCACCAGCUGGGUGCAGCAUUGAAGAAGCCUGAACUGCACCGUCAGCCGUAAGUUAUCUCGGGUUGGUGGACCGGUGACCUUGACUUUCUGACUUUGCUUUUGUAUCCACAUUUCCUACCCUCAGAAUAUAUUGCCUUUACAGCUGU